rnacentral:rRNA from 1 species
UACGGAGGAUGCAAGCGUUAUCCGGAUUCAUUGGGUUUAAAGGGUGCGUAGGCGGCUUUUUAAGUCAGUGGUGAAAUCCUGCCGCUUAACGGUAGAAUUGCCAUUGAUAGUGAGAAGCUUGAGUACGGUUGAGGUAAGCGGAAUGUGUAGUGUAGCGGUGAAAUGCUUAGAUAUUACACAGAACACCAAUUGCGAAGGCAGCUUACUAAACCGGCAACUGACGCUGAUGCACGAAAGCGUGGGGAGCGAACAGG